GAUGAACGCUGGCGGCGUGCCUAAUACAUGCAAGUCGAGCGAACGGAGGAGAAGCUUGCUUCUCUGAUGUUAGCGGCGGACGGGUGAGUAACACGUGGAUAACCUACCUAUAAGACUGGGAUAACUUCGGGAAACCGGAGCUAAUACCGGAUAAUAUUUUGAACCGCAUGGUUCAAAAGUGAAAGACGGUCUUGCUGUCACUUAUAGAUGGAUCCGCGCUGCAUUAGCUAGUUGGUAAGGUAACGGCUUACCAAGGCAACGAUGCAUAGCCGACCUGAGAGGGUGAUCGGCCACACUGGAACUGAGACACGGUCCAGACUCCUACGGGAGGCAGCAGUAGGGAAUCUUCCGCAAUGGGCGAAAGCCUGACGGAGCAACGCCGCGCGAGUGAUGAAGGUCUUCGGAUCGUAAAACUCUGUUAUUAGGGAAGAACAUAUGUGUAAGUAACUGUGCACAUCUUGACGGUACCUAAUCAGAAAGCCACGGCUAACUACGUG
rnacentral:rRNA from 1 species